rfam:Schistosoma curassoni strain Dakar, Senegal genome assembly, scaffold: SCTD_scaffold0004557
AUCCAACUGAUGAAUCCCAAAUAGGAUAAAACCCGAGUCUUGGAU